rfam:Brachypodium distachyon strain Bd21 chromosome 5, whole genome shotgun sequence.
CUGAUACUCCCUCCGUCCAACAAAGGAUGUCUCAAGUUUGUCAAAAUUUGAAUGUAUCUAAACAUGACUUAGUGUAUAGAUGCAUUCAAAUUUAGUCAAAGUUGAAACAUCCUUUCUUGGACGGAAUGAGUACAUU